AGUGAAAUUGCUGAGUCAUAUGGUAACUCUAUGUUUAGCAUUUUGAGGAACUGCCAAACUGUUUUCCAAAGUGGGUACACCAGUUUACAUUCCCACCAGCAAU
rnacentral:pre_miRNA from 2 species